rnacentral:rRNA from 1 species
AUUGAACGCUGGCGGCGGGCCUAACACAUGCAAGUCGAACGAGUGGCGGACGGGUGAGUAAUGUCUGGAAACCUGCCUGAUGGAUGGGGAUCACGACUGGAAAAGGUAGCUAAUACCGCAUAACAUCCGAUGUGCCCAGAUGGGAUUAGCUUGGUGGGGGGGUAACGGCUCACCAAGGCGACGAGCCAUAGCUGGUCUGAGCGGAUGACCAGGCACACUGGAAAUGAGACAAGGGCCAGACGCCUACGGGAGGCAGCAGUGGGGAAUAUUCCACAAUGGGCGAAAGCCUGACGCAGCAAUGCCGCGUGUAUGAAGAAGGCUUUCGGGUUGUAAAGUACUUUCAGCGGGGAGGCGUUACCCGCAGAAGAAGCACCGGCUAACUCCGUGCCAGCAGCCGCGGUAAUAC